UACGUAGGGGGGCAAGCGUUAUCCGGAAUCACUGGGUGUAAAGGGUGCGUAGGCGGUUAUGCAAGUCAGAUGUGAAAUGUCGAGGCUCAACUUCGGAACUGCAUUUGAAACUGCGUGACUAGAGUACAGGAGAGGUAAGUGGAAUUCCUAGUGUAGCGGUGAAAUGCGUAGAUAUUAGGAAGAACACCAGUGGCGAAGGCGACUUACUGGACUGAAACUGACGCUGAGGCACGAAAGCGUGGGGAGCAAACAGG
rnacentral:rRNA from 1 species